rnacentral:rRNA from 1 species
CUGGCUCAGGAUGAACGCUGGCGGCGUGCCUAAUACAUGCAAGUCGAACGAAACUUCUUUAUCACCGAGUGCUUGCACUCACCGAUAAAGAGUUGAGUGGCGAACGGGUGAGUAACACGUGGGCAACCUGCCCAAAAGAGGGGGAUAACACUUGGAAACAGGUGCUAAUACCGCAUAACCAUAGUUACCGCAUGGUAACUAUGUAAAAGGUGGCUAUGCUACCGCUUUUGGAUGGGCCCGCGGCGCAUUAGCUAGUUGGUGGGGUAAAGGCUUACCAAGGCAAUGAUGCGUAGCCGAACUGAGAGGUUGAUCGGCCACAUUGGGACUGAGACACGGCCCAAACUCCUACGGGAGGCAGCAGUAGGGAAUCUUCCACAAUGGGCGAAAGCCUGAUGGAGCAACGCCGCGUGGGUGAAGAAGGUCUUCGGAUCGUAAAACCCUGUUGUUAGAGAAGAAAGUGCGUGAGAGUAACUGUUCACGUUUCGACGGUAUCUAACCAGAAAGCCACGGCUAACUACGUGCCAGCAGCCGCGGUAAUACGUAGGUGGCAAGCGUUAUCCGGAUUUAUUGGGCGUAAAGGGAACGCAGGCGGUCUUUUAAGUCUGAUGUGAAGCCUUCGGCUUAACCGGAGUAGUGCAUGAAACUGGGAGACUGAGUGCAGAAGAGGAGAGUGGAACUCCAUGUGUAGCGGUGAAAUGCGUAGAUAUAUGGAAGAACACCAGUGGCGAAAGCGGCUCUCUGGUCUGUAACUGACGCUGAGGUUCGAAAGCGUGGGUAGCAAACAGGAUUAGAUACCCUGGUAGUCCACGCCGUAACGAUGAAUGCUAAGUGUUGGAGGGUUUCCGCCCUUCAGUGCUGCAGCUAACGCAAUAAGCAUUCCGCCUGGAGAGUACGACCGCAAGGUUGAAACUCAAAGGAAUUGACGGGGGCCCGCACAAGCGGUGGAGCAUGUGGUUUAAUUCGAAGCAACGCGAAGAACCUUACCAGGUCUUGACAUCUUUUGACAAUCCUAGAGAUAGGACUUUCCCUUCGGGGACAAAAUGACAGGUGGUGCAUGGUUGUCGUCAGCUCGUGUCGUGAGAUGUUGGGUUAAGUCCCGCAACGAGCGCAACCCUUAUUGUUAGUUGCCAGCAUUAAGUUGGGCACUCUAGCAAGACUGCCGGUGACAAACCGGAGGAAGGUGGGGAUGACGUCAAAUCAUCAUGCCCCUUAUGAUCUGGGCUACACACGUGCUACAAUGGUCGGUACAACGAGUCGCAAGACCGCGAGGUUUAGCAAAUCUCUUAAAGCCGUUCUCAGUUCGGAUUGUAGGCUGCAACUCGCCUACAUGAAGUCGGAAUCGCUAGUAAUCGCGGAUCAGCAUGCCGCGGUGAAUACGUUCCCGGGCCUUGUACACACCGCCCGUCACACCAUGAGAGUUUGUAACACCCAAAGCCGGUGGGGUAACCUUUUAGAGCCAGCCGUCUAAGGUGGGACAGAUGAUUAGGGUGAAGUCGUAACAAGGUAGCCG